GAAAAAUGACGAGGGUUUUAAUUAAUUUCUCGAUUGGAAGUUAUAUUGACAAUGUUGUAUGUGAUGUGGUGUCUAUGCAUGCGGUUCAUAUCUUGUUUGGGAGAUAUGACAUGAAAGUUAUACAUGACAGGUAGAAGAAUUGUCAUAACUUCGUCAAGGACGGGAGUUCCAUUACCCUUACGCCAUUAACACUAGCACAGGUGUAUGAAGACCAAAUUAAAUUGAAAAAUAGGGAAAAAAAGGAGAGCAAGAGAGCUGGGAAGGAGGAGAAAAAAUAGUGAUCCAAUGACUAAGAGAGAAAAUGGUGAGGUGGCCGAGGGUGGAGAAAAAAGAGAGAGACCAUAUGAGAGGAGAGGAAAAGAGUAAAUUAAGGGGAGAGAAAAGUUGAAAGCAAACUUCUUUGAAAAUGGAAGGGAAUUGAAAAAGGCUAUGGUUGAUAAAAGACAAAUGUUGUUGUUGGUAUACAAAGAGUCACUCUCAACCUUGAGGAAUCUAACAUACCCUUCCCUAGUUUGUUAAGUCUUUGUUGCGGGAAUUUGAAGAUAUGUUUUUUCGGAGGACGUGCCACGUGGAUUGCCACCAAUUCGAGAUAUCGAGCACCAAGUUGACUUCAUACCCGGAGCCGUCAUUCCGAACCGACCAGCUUACCAAAACAAUUUCGAGGAUGGGACAUGGAGGAUGUGUAUGGACUGCAAAGCCAUUAACAACAUAACGAUAAAGUAUCGACACCCUAUAUCUAGGUUAAAUGAUAUGCUAAAUGAAUUGCAUGGUGUUUGCAUUUUUAGUAAAAUUGAUCUUAAGAAUGAGUAUCAUCAAAUUCAUAUGCGGGAGGGUUAUGAGUGGAAAACAGCAUUUAAAACUAAAUAUGGAUUGUAUGAGUGGUUAGUCAUACCGUUUGGUCUCGUUAAUGCAUCAAGCACUUUCAUACGUUUAAUUAAUCAUGUUUUGCAUGCUUUCAUAGAUAAAUUUGUUGUAGUCUAUUUUGAUGACAUCCUAAUCUAUAGCAAAGACCUAGAAGAGCAUUCUAAUAUUUGAAAUGUGUGCUUAUUGUGAUAAGAAAGGAACAACUAUACGCUAAUUUUAAGAAGUGCGCGUUUUGUAUGGAUAAAGUUGUUUACCUAGGAUUUGUGGUUAGUGCUAAUGGAGUAGAAAUGGAUGAAGAAAAGAUAAAAGUUAUUAAAGAGUGGCCAACACCUAAAAGCAUAACUGAGAUUAGGAGUUUUUGGCUUAGCUGGUUUUUACAUGUAGUUUAUAAAGGAUUUUAGCACAAUCACCACACCACUCAUUAAAAUUCUUAAAAAGAGCAUAGGUUUUCACUGGGGUGAGGCACAAAAACAUGCAUUUAAUACUAUUAAGGAUAAAUUAUGUAAAUCACUUGUUUUAGCAUUACCUAGCUUUGACAAGACAUUCGAAAUCGAGUGUGAUGCAACAGGAAUAGGCAUUGGAGUAAUGUUAAUGCAGGAUCAGAGGCCUAUUACUUAUUUUAGUGAGAAGCUGAGUGGAGCUACCCUAAACAAUCCGACAUAUGACAAGGAGCUAUACUUACUCGUUUCAACAUUGGAGACUUGACAGUAUUACUUGUGGCCUAAGGAGCUCGUGCUACACACCGAUCAUGAGUCCUGAAAGCACUUGCAAGUUUAAGGUAAGUUGAUCAAGUAACAUGCGAGGUGGAUGGAAUUUAUAGAGACAUUUCCAUACGUUAUCCGAUAUAAACAAGGUAAUGAAAAUGUGGUUGCGGGUGCAUUGUCUCGAAGGUACGUCCUUCCUAAUUCUUUAAGUGCAAAGUUACUUGGCUUUGAACAUAUUAAGAGCAUAAAAUAAGGGAGCUGUUAACAAAUUUUAUAAACAUGAGGAAUAUUUGUUUAGAGAAAUAAAUUGUGCGUUCCUAAUUGUUCUUUGCGUGAGUUGUUGGUAAAGGAAGCACACAGUGGAGGUCUAAUGGGUCACUUUGGGGUUCAAAAUACUUUAGAAAUGUUAAGAAAACAUUUUUAUUGGCCUAAAAUGAGAAGUGAUGUAAAAUGAAUUUGUGAGAAAUGCAUAACUUGUAAGAGAGCUAAUUCUAAAGUUUUAUCCCAUGUUUGUAUACUCCUUUGCAUGUACCUAGUGAACCUUAGGUGGAGAUAUCAAUGAAUUUCGUGUUGGGUUUACCUAGAACAAAAAGGGGUCGGGAUUCAAUAUUUGUUGUGGUAGAUAGGUUUAGUAAAAUGACACACUUUACACCAUGUCACAAAAUCGAUGAUACCACUAAUAUUGCAGGUUUGAUCUUUAGGAAUAUAGUACAUUUGCAUGGGGUGCCUAAUCUGAUCGAGAUGUUAAGUUUUUGAGUCAUUUUUUGCGUAUUUUGUGGAAUAACUUAGGCACUAAAUUGUUAUUCUCUACAACUUGUCAAAUGGGCAAACUGAGGUAGUAAAUAGAACCAUGACUCAAUUGCUUCGUAUUGUGAUAAUUGAAAACUUGAAAAUUUGGCUUUUAUUGAAUUUGCUUAUAAUAGAACUGUACACUUUACUACUUCGUUUUCGCCUUUUGAAAUCAUUUAUGAAUUUAAUCCACUAACUCAUUUGGAUUUGUUACAUUCACCUAUGAAUGAAUGGGUAGCUUGGAUGGUAAGAAAAAAGAUGAGUUGGUAAAGGCACUCCACGAGAAAGUCAAGAUGUAAAUUGAAGAAAAGGGUAAGCUUAUUGCAUCAAAGGCAAACAAAGGAAGAAAGCGUGUGACAUUCGAACAAGGUGAUUGGAUCUGGGUACAUUUCAGAAAGGAGCAUUUUCUAAAGCAGAGAAAGUCUAAAUUGCAGCUAUGAGGAGCUGGCCCAUUUCAAGCCAUCGAAAAGAUCUACGAUAACGCAUACAAAGUGGAUCUUUCAGUAGAUCUUUCAGGUGAGUAUAAUGUUUCAGCUACAUUCAACGUUCCUGAUCUAUCUCUUUCUGAUGCAGGUGCAUAUUCGAAGACGAAUCCUUUUGAAAAAUGAGGGAAUGAUAAGAUCCAAGAUGUGAGAAUCAUGAAGGCAAGUUUGAGCUGAGACCCAUUAAUUAUCGAAAAAGGUUUGAUGACACGAUUGAGAGCUAAACAAGUUAAAGAAGCAAUGUGGAUGCUCAUCAAAGCCACUAUUGAUGACACCAUGUUCGGGAAGCAAAAUAGAGUAAGUUUCAUGUUGGGUUAGAAGGUCGAAGAGACUUGGAUCAACGUGAUAAAGGUGGACGAAAAAAAGGCUACCGGACAAAGCCAUGUGACUGCACAGCUUUGUGGUGCUUACGGUCGAACAAACCUAUGCAGGGAUUUACCGAGGGAAAUAAUUCUAUGUGGAUGCAUGGUUCAAUUUCAGGGAUGCGUUUUUUAAUUUUUUGCAAAUUUCCAUAUUUGAUUUGAAUUCCAUAUCUAUACGACUUUUGUCAUAAUUAAAAGAUCAAGCACGAUUUUUACCUAGGUUUAGGAGACUAGUAUAAAUACUUUACAUCUUUCAUUGUAUUAACAAAACUUUUGACAACUUGAUAAUUGAGAGAUUAUUGUUUUCUUAAUUGUUCUUCCGAAAAAAAUAAUAAAUAAAUUAUAGAGCCAUGCGACUUCAUGGCAUAUCGCAUAGCUAUAUGCUGAGACCAAUAGGCA
rnacentral:lncRNA from 1 species